rnacentral:lncRNA from 1 species
GCUGAGACUCACGAAAAAUAAAAAGGGGGGUCAUUUCUCUUUAUAUAAAAAGCUCACACACACACACCUAACAGGAGGAAUGAAAAAACAACAGGGAUAGGGAAAUAAUAAAUAGAAGGGGAAAAGGGAAAAAAACCUAGAGAAAUAGCUAGAAAAAACAUAGAUUCCUUUUUGUUGGCUAACAAGGAUCCGCCGCAAUUCUCAAUAGAGGAGGACCCAUCUGACUCCCAUCUUCUUCAUUAGAAAUGGGAAUCAACAACCAUGAACAAAAAUGCUUUCGUUGUUUAACAAACACGGAACCCACCCCCACCAGGUCGUCGCCUCUGCUUCUCCAUCCCAGAAAAUCCGCCUGAACUCUUUCUUAUUCUUCAAAGCUUCACAAGAUGUCGACCCCUUUUUUUAAGCUCUGAAAGUUGUUGUCAUCAAAGUUUCCGGUCAGUCGAGUUUUUCGUUGGUUCCGAAGCGAGGUUUCUUCAUCGUUGAGGUCCCCGAUCCGAGAUCAGCGAGGGUUCCCGACGAGGUCCCUUUUGGCUUUGAGUCGGAUUUUCCUCUUAUCUGCUUUUGGAUAAUCGACUGACUUUCUGUACAUUUGCUUGGAGUUUUCCUGCUAAUACAAGGUGCAUUUUUCUUCUUUAACAUGCUUCUUAGUACCACAAUAUUUGCUAUAAGUUUAUUUGCCUAAUGAAAGUUAGAUGAUAUUCUUGUUAAAUGUGAUUAUUGGUAUGUUUAAGUCAUGUAUCUGUUUAAGAAUUUCCAUGGUUUAGACGUAUAUUUUUGUUUUAUGAGCUUGGAGUCAUGUGUAGAAUUAGGGAGGGAUUUUUCCUUUGUUAAAAUUGAGAUAAAGCAUCUUGAAAUUUGUUAAAGAGAUUGUGUCUGUUAGCAGAGGUUAAAAAUAAGGUGUAGGUUUUAGUGAAAAUGAUUUGGCUUUUGGGAUUAUUUUGAAUAUAGAAAAUUCUGGGCCAAAAAUAAUUGAAAUUCAAGAGUCCAAAACGUUCUUCUCCAUUUUUGUGAUGAACAUUUCCAAGUAAUCGAAUAAUGUCAUUUCUUUCUAUAAUAAUUUUCACAACUCUUAGAUAUAUUACUGAUAAUCUAGAACUUUAAAAAAGGUGAAUAAAUUAUGAACAUCCGCAGUUUGCUUUAAGUUGAAUAAAACCUUUUAAAAUAAUUUGAGGUGUGUCAUGCCAAAUAAAAUCUUGAAAUGUGUGGACCUGACCCUUUUAAUUUUAAUCCUCAAAAAUCAAAGCGUGUCAUUUAGUUGAAUUUUCCAUGGUCCUCGCAAACCUAAAAGUGCGUAGUUGCUUUAGGCACGCUAUUUAAAAAGUUACUUUCCUAAAUUCGGGUGUGCAUUUAUGUGACCUAAAUCCAAAUCACCACAAUGUUAGAUGAAAUGUGUCGGAGACAGCGGGUGCAUUUAUGUGACGUGGUUCAACACGUGUUUUAUAUGACGUUGAAAUCUUCCCCAAAAAGUAAUUAAAUAAAAGCGGUUAUAAAGUUAAAAUUGCACCAUAAGUUAAAACAUUUAAUAAAAUCAGAUAAUAGGCCAUUUAUAAUAUUUGAGCGACCGUGCUAGAACCACGGAACUCGGGAAUGCCUAAUAUCUUCUCACGGGUUAACAGAAUUCCUUACCCGGAUUUCUAUCUUUGCGGACUGUAAUACACAGUCAAUCGUUUCCUCGACUCGGGAUUUGAACCGGUGACUUGAGACACCAUAAAAUUAUCCCAAGUGGCGAUUCUAAUUUUAAUAAAUAAAUAAUCACGUUUCGAUUGUCACUUUAAGUUGGAAAAAACUCCCUUAUAUACCCCUUCUCGGGGUGUAGGAAAAAGGAGGUGUGAAACAAGGUACCACAUAACCAUAAUAAUGAGGUGUAUAAGGUAUGUUGAAAGUGAGUAGUAUUUUGAGUAACUUGUUCUAAUUCUUGAUUAUGUGAGUAAUUGGUUAAUUAUUGGAUUAAUGGGAGAUUAACCAAAUUAAUUAAAGGUUGUGGAUAAUUAUUUAAGUAAGAUUUGGAUAAUUAUUAGGGGGAUAACAAUCCACGUGGAAUUAUGAAGAUUUGGCACCAAAUUGCCAACUAAUAUUAUACUUAAGGAGGUGAUGGCACUAUCCAUAUGCACAUUAUCUCAUUCUUGGGUUGAAAGAUUCAAUUAAGGCUUCUCUAAAUUCACAAAGUGAAAGGCUUAUUAGUUUGUAAAAUUAAAACAGCAAUAUGGAUGAAGAUUAUGACAAAGUGGGAUGUAUUAGUUCCUUUUGGGGGAAAGUUGAACAAGGUCUCUAUUACUAAGUUACUAUAGCAUUGUUUGCUAAAGGAGCAGCAACGCAAUGUAAAAUUGCAAGAUAAACAACAUGUCAUUAAGGGCAGAAAUGUUUUGCUAUUUAAGAUAAGAAAAGAUUAAGCUUUCUCUACUUGAUUCUCGCAUCGAUUUUAUGAUUCUAAUAUCGAUUCCCUAUGGUUGUUAGCGGAUUGAAGUUAUUUCGUAGUAAUGUAAAGUGGAAGGAAGUUUAAAAUAGGGAAACAAAAGUACACUCCAUCAUCAACGACCUUCUACAAGUUUGCUGCUAAUCCAUUGUUGUUGUGUUAUUGUCGUCUCUCAUAGAUUAACUGUGACGAUCCGGCCGGUCGUCUUAAGAAUUUAUGCCCCAAUCCCCUAUUAACUGCUUUCUCCAAGUUUAUUUCUGCUAUUUUAAUUUGUCGGGAUGUUCGAAUUUUGAAUUUCGGAGAGUUUUGGGACACUUAGUCCCUAAAUGAGAGCUUAAGUAUUGGAAAGUUGACCGUAGUAGGAAUUGUGUGAAGACGGCCUCAGAAUGGAAAUCUGAUGGUUCCUUUAGCUCCGUUGGGUGAUUUCGUGGUUAGGAUCGUGUUCGAAUUGUGUUUUGGAGGUCGAUAGCUAAUUUAGGCUUGAAAUGCCGAAGGUUGUAUUUUUGAAGUUUUCGGUUCGAUAGCGAGAUUUUGAUCCGAGGAUCGAAAUGGAAUUCCGAGAGUUGCAGUAGUUCCAUUGUGUCAUUUGGGACGUGUGUGCAAAAUUUCAGGUCAUUCGGAUGAGGUUUGAUAGACUUUUUGAUCGAAAGCGUAUUUUGAGGAUUUUGGAGUUCUUAGGCUUAAAUCCAUGGUUAAUGCGAGGUUUCGAUGUUGUUUUAGAUGUUUUAAGGAUUAGUACAAGUUUGAAUAGGGUUUUAGGAUAUGUAUGUGCCAUUGGUUGAGGUCCCGGGGGCCUCGGAUGUGUUUCGGAUGCUCAACGGAUCAUUUUAAGUUGUUAAAAAGUUGCAGAUUUUGUUCAGCUGUUGCAGAGGAAUUCUACCCUUCGCGCUCGUGAUGGGAUCUCCGCGUUCACAAAAGGCUGGAUACUUGUGAACCGUUUUCCCGACUGAGCUUCGCAUUCGCGGAGGAGGAAAUUUGGCCCGGUAGAAUUUACUCAUCGCGUUCGCGAUGAGAGGAACGCGUUCGCGAAGGUUAGACGGGGUAAAGCAUCGCGUUCGCGAGGGCCUUGUCGCGUUUGCAUAAGAGGACUUUUGGUCAAUGUCAUUUUUGUGCUUCGUGAGCGCGAGGCUUUGACCGCGUUCGCAAUGAAGGAAUUAAUGUCUGGGCAGAAUGUUUUAAAAGGUUUAUUUCGCAAAUUUUAGCCUAGGUUUCUCCAUUGUUAGGCAAUUUUGAAGCUUUUUUUGAAGAGGGAUUCAAGGGGAAUCACUUGGAGGUAACAUUUUUGACUUGAUAACUCAUUUUUAUGUGAUUAAAGACCUAAUUAGUGGUGAAAACUUUGGGAAAAAUGGGUAAUUAGGGCUUGAGUUUACGAGACCUUUAAAUGAGGAUUUGAGGGGGCAUUUGGACUCCGAUUUUAGUGUUCUUAUUAUGUAUAGACUCGUGAGAGUACGAGGUUUCUGAAAUUAUAAAUUUCACCAAAUUCCGAGACGUGGGCCCGAGAGGCGUUUUGGUCAUUUUGCCUAAUUUUGCGUAUUAGCUUAGAAUUAAAUUGUAGAAUCAGUUGCUUGAAGUGUUAUUUACAUUAUAAAAUUGAAUUGAAUAGAUUUGAGCCAUUUGGAGUUGAGUACUCGUAGCAAGAAUGGUCUCGGGUUGAUUUUGAGCCGGUUCAAGGUAAGUGGCUUGUCAAACCUUGUGUGGGGGACCUUCCCCUUAGGAUUGGUAUAUUUGUUAAUUGAAAUCCUUGUACGUGAGGUGAUGAGUGCGUACUUGUGGUAAUUGUUGGAAAAUUCGGUUUCCAUUAAGUAUUUAUCAGCAUGUUUCCUUUCGUGCUUUUAUUACUUAUACUAUUAAGCCUGUUGUUAGCUUAAGAAAGCAUGUCUAAGUGAUUUAAUUGCUUGAUUGUUCAAUCUGUUUACCUGAACUCCGUGCAGCAUGCUAGGCUAGAAUUAUUUGUUGCCUUAAUAAGAAAUUUCCCUUCUCUGAAUUUAUUUUUUCUUGCUGCUGCUGUGUAUUUACAUUGGGACUGCGGAUGUGGGAUUCCGGUAGAUUCCCCUUGUCUGUUUACUUUGGGACUACGGGUUAGAUUCCCGGUAGAUCCCCCUACACAAUUAUAUGGAACUACGGGAAUGCACUCGGUAGAUUCCCCCAGUACUGGGUAUUUAUUUCUGGGACUACGGAUUGAAUUUCAGUAGAUCCCCGCGCAUUGAUAGUUGGACUACAGGACGGGAUCUCGGAAGAUCCUUCGGACACAUAUAUGAUGGACUACGGGAUGGUAUCCCGGGAGUUCCACUAGAUAGUUGUAAUUGGGACUACAAGACGGUAUCCUGGAAGGUGCCCCGGUUGUUAUCUCUGUGUUGAGUUGUAUUUCUUUCCGUGGUUUGUUUGUCUCUGUUCUAGUUGUGGUUGUUCUUACAAUUCUAUGUUAUUUCUUACUGUUGCACUUAUUUAUACUGUUUUAUUUCACACUGUUAACCCUUAUAUUUUGUUUAACCUCAGUAGGGCCUUGACCUUCUUCGUCACUACCCGACCGAGGUUAGGCUUGGCACUUACUGAGUACCGUUGUGGUGUACUCAUGCCCUUUCUGCGCAUGUUUUUCAUGUGCAGAUCCAGGUACUUCUACUCAGGCCUACCAUCCUUGAGGGAGGCGUCUGCUCUAGAGACUUCGAGGUACAUCUGCUGCGUCCGCAGACCGAGGAGUCUCUUUCUAUUCUAGUUGUUGAACAUUGCCCUUAUGUAUUUCUCUUUCUUGUUAGAUAUUCUGGAGUUAGACUGUUAGAUAUUCCAAAGGCUUGUGUUCCCGUGAGUUUUCAAGUUUUGGGAUAGUGUAUUUGGUUUGAGAAUGUUGUGUUGUUUAUGCCGAGCGGCAUUAUAAC